UACGUAGGGUCCGAGCGUUGUCCGGAAUUACUGGGCGUAAAGAGCUCGUAGGUGGUUUGUCGCGUUGUUCGUGAAAACUCACAGCUCAACUGUGGGCGUGCGGGCGAUACGGGCAGACUUGAGUACUGCAGGGGAGACUGGAAUUCCUGGUGUAGCAGUGAAAUGCGUAGAUAUCAGGAGGAACACCGAUGGCGAAGGCAGGCUCUGGGCUGACACUGACGCUCAUGCACGAAGCGUGGGGAGC
rnacentral:rRNA from 1 species